UCUCAUUUGAUGGUGAUAAGAUCCCACUUCACAGAUGAAGUUCCAGCCCCCACGAGAGACUUGGUGAUAGCGUCAUUUGGCGGUGAGUCGCAGGUCUGACCGCUAAUCCAAAGCUCUUUCUACCUCAGCUUUGUCUGAAAGAUGGAUAGAGAGCCACCACCAAGGGGAGAGGGACCACAGAAUUUGGACUUCAGAGGAAGAAAAGCACGCUCGUCUCAGCCUUGUCACCUACAGAGACAGGAACUGCAUUUGGCCACAGCAGCAAUAGGGAGCGAACACAUUGCCAGUAUGGGCAUGGAUUUGGAGACUCAGAGCACACAGGAUAAUUGAAGCCAUUGUCAAGAAGAAAGGGCCCAGAGAUGUGUUUGAAUGAGGACAGGUGAUGUCUAGGGCAGAACCCACGGAGAGAUCAUUGCUGCAGGACAGGGCAACUCACACCACUGUUCCUUGGAUGGGAGGGUCCCAGGACAGAAGAGGAGGAAGGGAUCCCCGCCCCCCAACUCUGAGCAUGUUCUUCAAGAGCCGCACCUUUGGGACACAUUCAGAGACUAUGAGGGAAUGGUUUUGGAAGGAGCAGUGGACACCAAGACCGUGAAACAGAGUAACACAUAUCAUCGCGGGGGAUUGGCUUUUUAUGUGCUCCCCCAACCCCACUAACCAGCCAGGUACUCCCCCUGCCCUGCCGUCCCCAGGGUCCAGUCUCCUCCUUCCCACCCUGGAUGUGAUCACCUGGUGCACCACCAUCCCAGAGCCUGGAAAGUUUGACAGGGGCCGGGCUGACCUGGGGGCGCACCCUCUGUCCUCCCACUGCGCCUCUGCUUCCCUCCGGCCCUGUCAUACUCCCCCACAAUCAGUGACCGCUCAGCCCCUUCCUCCGAGGACAGGCCUGCUUGCUAGCCGUGUCCAAGCAUGAAUCCCUCGGCCCCACAUCUGAUGUCUGAUGCACGGUCCGUGCUCGGGGGACUGAAAUGCUGGGUUAAGGGCUACUCCCGAGGGCCAGAUCCAGAAACUGUGUCUGAGAAGGGAUCGGAGCAAGGGAGGGCCUGGGUGCCAGGCCAGAGUAGACUCCUUGGUCCCUCCCCUUCCGGGCCUCCCCCCACCACCGGCAGCCCUGCAGGAAAAUGCCCAUUAUUUAUAUCCACACCUCUUUAGUCCUGGAAGAUGAGCCCAACUUGGUCCGCAAGAUUAUCAGAGGGACCGUGGGCAGCUGCUUCUUCUACUCUUGGCAAACACUCACUUGGGUGCCUUUGCCGGAGGGCCCUGCUGGGCAGUGGGAGAUGCUCUUCCUUCGGGAGAGGGGGUGAUGAUUGCUGAGCCUUCUUUCUCCUUGAGGAAGGAGACCUGACCUGGAGAGCCCCACCUUCCUGCGCCUGCAGCUCCAGGGGGAAGAGAGCAGAGUCCCUCAGAUACAGCAGGUCCCCACCGGAGAACGGAGCAGGUGGACGGCCUAAGACCAGGGCCUGGCUCAGUGUGCGUAGCUCCCAGAGCUGUGGGCAGCAGUCUGCACAGACAGAAAGCUCAGAUGGCAACCGGCCACGCCCCGUGGGUGCUGAGAGCACAAGCUGAGGGAUCCGGGUCGGGGCAGGAGGUGGGACCUG